AGAGUACAUUCCCUUGCACUGUUGCUAUAGUUUCAAAAAUGGUGGCAAAGCGGUCUGUUGAUAUCUGCGAAAAGGAACCAGUGUAAAACGUGGAUGUGAAUGCUCUCAGAAAGGGGAAAGCCAAUACAGGAUCAUCAUGGAGAGAUCUUCUUCAAAUGUACCAACAAGUGGUAAAUGGACGUGGAAGGAAGACAUUUGUGGGUUAGAAUUCGUGAGUUAUUCUCCAAAUGCGGAUAAAGGCAAACGAGGAAAGAAGCUUGAUGCAAGACGAGGCCUAGAGGGGUAAAUUACCUAGCUCCAGUCGGGGGCCCCAUGGUAGAGGACAGGGCCACUAUCAUAUGGCUACUGGAACAAAAUCAAAGAAAGAUCAAGCAGAGCACACAUCUGUUCUUCUUGAUGAUAUAAAAGCUGUAGCAGUUGAUAUGAUAUUUGAUACAAGGAGCAUUCCAGAAUCAUUUGACAGCCUGUUAUGGACAGAGCAGUUUGAUUAUUUUCUUCUGCAUCUGUUGAGCUACUUCAACUGCUUCUUUGAGAAAAUUCAUCAAGACAGCAAGAAAAAUGGAAUAUAUAUGUGAGUCAAUAAACCUGACUUUUAUAAAUUUUUCAUGUGACUAUUUCAUGUUAAUCGACAUUCCAGAUGAAAUAACUUGAGCCUUCUUCCACAUAACAGCAAUAUCUAGGUGUGUGGGACAGGGUCAUAGAGAGACAUAGAAACGCAAGAAUA